AUUCUGCCCAAGCGGGGAAGGAUGAGAAGCUUCGACCAAGGCGAGAGAGCGUUGCCGCAGGCAACGACCCGAAGGGCGAAGCGCGCAGCGCUGAGUAAUCCUUCCCCCACCACCA
rnacentral:sRNA from 1 species